CCUACGGGAGGCCGCAGUGAGGAAUAUUGGUCAAUGGACGAGAGUCUGAACCAGCCAAGUAGCGUGAAGGCUGACUGCCCUAUGGGUUGUAAACUUCUUUUAUAUGGGAAUAAAAUGUUCCACGUGUGGGAUUUUGUAUGUACCAUAUGAAUAAGGAUCGGCUAACUCCGUGCCAGCAGCCGCGGUAAUACGGAGGAUCCGAGCGUUAUCCGGAUUUAUUGGGGUUAAAGGGAGCGUAGGUGGAUUGUUAAGUCAGUUGUGAAAGUUUGCGGCUCAACCGUAAAAUUGCAGUUGAAACUGGCAGUCUUGAUUACAGUAGAGGUGGGCGGAAUGCGUGGUGUAGCGGUGAAAGGCUUAGAUAGCACGAAGAACUCCGAUUGCGAAGGCAGCUCACUGGACUGCAACUGACACUGAGGCUCGAAAGUGUGGGUAUCAAACAGGAUUAGAUACCCGGGUAGUC
rnacentral:rRNA from 1 species